rnacentral:rRNA from 1 species
GAUGAACGCUGGCGGCGUGCCUAAUACAUGCAAGUCGAGCGAACAGAUGAGGAGCUUGCUCCUCUGACGUUAGCGGCGGACGGGUGAGUAACACGUGGAUAACCUACCUAUAAGACUGGGAUAACUUCGGGAAACCGGAGCUACUACCGGAUAAUAUAUUGAACCGCAUGGUUCAAUAGUGAAAGACGGUUUUGCUGUCACUUAUAGAUGGAUCCGCGCCGGAUUAGCUAGUUGGUAAGGUAACGGCUUACCAAGGCGACGAUGCGUAGCCGACCUGAGAGGGUGAUCGGCCACACUGGAACUGAGACACGGUCCAGACUCCUACGGGAGGCAGCAGUAGGGAAUCUUGCGCAAUGGGCGAAAGCCUGACGGAGCAACGCCGCGUGAGUGAUGAAGGUCUUCGGAUCGUAAAACUCUGUUAUUAGGGAAGAACAAAUGCGUAAGUAACUAUGCACGUCUUGACGGUACCUAAUCAGAAAGCCACGGCUAACUACGUG